GCCGAUGUAGCUCAGGGGCAGAGCAACGCACUCGUAAUGCGUAGGUCGUGGGUUCGAAUCCCACCAUCGGCUCCA
rnacentral:tRNA from 4 species